rnacentral:rRNA from 1 species
UACGUAGGAGGCAAGCGUUAUCCGGAAUGACUGGGCGUAAAGGGUGCGUAGGUGGUUUGACAAGUUGGUAGCGUAAUUCCGAGGCUCAACCUCGGCACUACUACCAAAACUGUUGGACUUGAGUGCAGGAGGGGCAACCGGAAUUCCUAGUGUAGCGGUGGAAUGCGUAGAUAUUAGGAGGAACACCAGUGGCGAAGGCGGGUUGCUAGACUGUAACUGACACUGAGGCACGAAAGCGUGGGGAGCAAACAGG